UGGAACUUAGAUUACCAUGACGACCACCACGCAUCCGAAGGAAUGUUCCAUCAUUUGGACAUCACUACUGACGGCUGCUUGAAGAAGGACGACCUCGGAAUGCACCACAUGGCCAUGGACACAGACAAUGACAACACGGUCACAGGUGCCGAAUUUACAGCUUGGCUUCACCAUGUUCACCCAGAUAGCGCCGGGCACGGGCAUCAUGGACGUUAAAGACCGUCAAAACAUUGACAAAACCGAAUUACUUAUUUGCAUUUUUUAUACAAUGUACUUGAAUCUUCAUUUAUACAAUAAAUAAGUGAAUGU
rnacentral:misc_RNA from 1 species